UAGGGAAUAUUGCUCAAUGGGGGGAAACCCUGAAGCAGCAACGCCGCGUGGAGGAUGAAGGUUUUCGGAUUGUAAACUCCUUUUGUUAGAGAAGAUAAUGACGGUAUCUAACGAAUAAGCACCGGCUAACUCCGUGCC
rnacentral:rRNA from 1 species